rnacentral:tRNA from 1 species
GGCCCCGUAGUCUAGCGGCCUAGGACAUUAGCUUCUCAUGCUAAGGACACGAGUUCAAAUCUCGUCGGGGUCA